AGAGUUUGAUCAUGGCUCAGGAUGAACGCUAGCGGCAGGCUUAAUACAUGCAAGUCGAGGGGCAUCAAGGUACACGAAAGUGUAUGUUGGCGACCGGCGGACGGGUGAGUAAUAGGUAGGUAACUACCUCAUACUGAGGCAUAGCUGGGAGAAAUUUCCAGGUAAUUCCUCAUGAGGUUAUAUGACACAUGUGAUAUAAUCAAAGGUAUCGCAAGGUACUGGUAUGAGAUGGGCUUACUGACCGUUAGCUAGUUGGUGAGAUAAGAGCUCACCAAGGCGAAGAUGGUUAGGGGUUUUGAGAGAGAGAUCCCCCACAUUGGAACUGAGAUACGGUCCAGACUCCUACGGGAGGCAGCAGUAGGGAAUAUUGGGCAAUGGGCGGAAGCCUGACCCAGCCAUGCCGCGUGAAGGAAGACGGCCUUAUGGGUUGUAAACUUCUUUACUAUGCGACUAACUAGAUUUACGAGAUAAUUCUAUAGAAUGUAGCAUAGCAAAAAGCACCGGCUAACUCCGUGCCAGCAGCCGCGGUAAUACGGAGGGUGCGAGCGUUAUUCGGAAUUACUGGGUUUAAAGGGUGCGUAGGCGGCUAAGUAAGUUGUCAUUGAAAGGCUACAGCUCAACUGUAGUAGUGGUGGCGAUACUGCUUAGCUAAGAACAUGGGAGGGGUACUUGGAAUGUGUGGUGUAGCGGUGAAAUGCGUAGAUAUCACACAGAACACCAGAGGCGAAGGCGGAGUACUAGACCAUAGUUGACGCUGAGGCACGAAAGCGUGGGGAUCAAACAGGGUUAGAUACCCUGGUAGUCCACGCCCUAAACGAUGAUCACUAGAUAUUGGCGACAAACAGUCAGUGUCCAAGCGAAAGUGAUAAGUGAUCCACCUGGGGACUACGGCCGCAAGGUUAAAACUCAAAGGAAUUGACGG
rnacentral:rRNA from 1 species